UGCGUAGGCGGUUUACUAAGUCAGAUGUGAAAGCCCCGGGCUUAACCUGGGAACUGCAUUUGAUACUGGUAGGCUAGAGUAUGAUAGGGGGGGGUAGAAUUCCUGGUGUAGCGGUGAAAUGCGUAGAUAUCAGGAGGAAUACCAGUGGCGAAGGCGGCCCCCCUGGAUCAAUACUGACGCUGAGGUACGAAAGCGUGGGUAGCGAACA
rnacentral:rRNA from 1 species